rnacentral:rRNA from 1 species
AGAGCGAAAUGGAUUGAAGAGCUUGCUCUCAUGAAGUUAGCGGCGGACGGGUGAGUAACACGUGGGUAACCUGCCCAUAAGACUGGGAUAACUCCGGGAAACCGGGGCUAAUACCGGAUAACAUUUUGAACUGCAUGGUUCGAAAUUGAAAGGCGGCUUCGGCUGUCACUUAUGGAUGGACCCGCGUCGCAUUAGCUAGUUGGUGAGGUAACGGCUCACCAAGGCAACGAUGCGUAGCCGACCUGAGAGGGUGAUCGGCCACACUGGGACUGAGACACGGCCCAGACUCCUACGGGAGGCAGCAGUAGGGAAUCUUCCGCAAUGGACGAAAGUCUGACGGAGCAACGCCGCGUGAGUGAUGAAGGCUUUCGGGUCGUAAAACUCUGUUGUUAGGGAAGAACAAGUGCUAGUUGAAUAAGCUGGCACCUUGACGGUACCUAACCAGAAAGCCACGGCUAACUACGUGCCAGCAGCCGCGGUAAUACGUAGGUGGCAAGCGUUAUCCGGAAUUAUUGGGCGUAAAGCGCGCGCAGGUGGUUUCUUAAGUCUGAUGUGAAAGCCCACGGCUCAACCGUGGAGGGUCAUUGGAAACUGGGAGA